rnacentral:piRNA from 1 species
UCCAGGUCUUUGAUUUGGUGUUGGUUCGUGU